UCCUCCCUCAAACCUCCGGGUUUGGUGUUGGGCAUGCGUCGGUCGUCAUCGACCGACGGGCCCCAAAGACAAUGACGGCGUCCGUGGGACCCUCGGUGCAACGAGCUUUUCGGAGCACGCGUCGAGUUUCAAGGACCUUCCGGGCCGGUCUAACCCCCCUUUUUAUCACAA
rnacentral:misc_RNA from 1 species